rnacentral:tRNA from 1 species
AAAGCAAAUUGGAUUAUAUUAGGCUUCUAACCAAAUUGAGUGCGGUUCGACUCCACGCUUGCUUUU